rnacentral:rRNA from 1 species
GACGAACGCUGGCGGCGUGCCUAAUACAUGCAAGUUGAGCGCUGAAGGUUGGUACUUGUACCGACUGGAUGAGCAGCGCACGGGUGAGUAACGCGUGGGGAAUCUGCCUUUGAGCGGGGGACAACAUUUGGAAACGAAUGCUAAUACCGCAUAAAAACUUUAAACACAAGUUUUAAGUUUGAAAGAUGCAAUUGCAUCACUCAAAGAUGAUCCCGCGUUGUAUUAGCUAGUUGGUGAGGUAAAGGCUCACCAAGGCGAGGAUACAUAGCCGACCUGAGAGGGUGAUCGGCCACAUUGGGACUGAGACACGGCCCAAACGCCUACGGGAGGCAGCAGGAGGGAAUCUUCGGCAAUGGACGAAAGUCUGACCGAGCAACGCCGCGGGAGUGAAGAAGGUUUUCGGAUCGUAAAACUCUGUUGGUAGAGAAGAACGUUGGUGAGAGUGGAAAGCUCAUCAAGUGACGGUAACUACCCAGAAAGGGACGGCUAACUACGUG